rnacentral:rRNA from 1 species
GGGGACAACCCGCCGAAAGGCGGGCUAAACCCGCGUACAUGCCACCGGGGCAUCCCGGAGGCAGGAAAGGCUUCGGCCGGACAGGGAUGGGCAUGCGGCGCAUUAGGCAGUAGGCGGGGUAACGGCCCACCUAACCGACGAUGCGUAGGGGUUCUGAGAGGAAGGUCCCCCACACUGGUACUGAGACACGGACCAGACUCCUACGGGAGGCAGCAGUGAGGAAUAUUGGUCAAUGGUCGGGAGACUGAACCGGCCAAGCCGCGUGAGGGAUGAAGGUACAGAGUAUCGUAAACCUCUUUUGUCAGGGAACAAAGGCGGGGACGUGUCCCCGGAUGAGUGUACCUGAAGAAAAAGCAUCGGCUAACUCCGUGCCAGCAGCCGCGGUAAUACGGAGGAUGCGAGCGUUAUCCGGAUUUAUUGGGUUUAAAGGGUGCGCAGGCGGUCUGUUAAGUCAGCGGUCAAAGCCCGGGGCUCAACCCCGGCCCGCCGUUGAAACUGGCAGUCUCGAGUUGGAGAGAAGUAUGCGGAAUGCGCGGUGUAGCGGUGAAAUGCAUAGAUAUCGCGCAGAACUCCGAUUGCGAAGGCAGCAUGCCGGCUCCACACUGACGCUGAGGCACGAAAGCGUGGGUAUCGAACAGGAUUAGAUACCCUGGUAGUCCACGCAGUAAACGAUGAA